GAUGAACGCUAGCUACAGGCUUAACACAUGCAAGUCGAGGGGUAACAAGAGGAAAGCUUGCUUUCCUUGUCGACGACCGGCGCACGGGUGAGUAACGCGUAUCCAACCUGCCCCCAACUAGGGAAUAACCUUGCGAAAGUAAGACUAAUACCCUAUAAUUUCCUCAGAUGCCAUCUGACGAGGAAUAAAGAUUUAUCGGUUGUGGAUGGGGAUGCGUCUGAUUAGCUUGUUGGCGGGGUAACGGCCCACCAAGGCAACGAUCAGUAGUGGUUCUGAGAGGAAAGGUCCCCACAUUGGAACUGUGACACUGUCCAAACUCCUACGGAAGGAAGCAGUGAGGAAUAUUGGUCAAUGGGCGGAAGCCUGAACCAGCCAAGUAGAGUGCAGGAUGACGGCCCUAUGUGUUGUAAACUGCUUUUAUACAGGAAUAAAGUUAGCCACGUGUGGUUAUUUGUAGGUACUGUAUGAAUAAGGACCGGCUAAUUCCGUGCCAGCCGCCGCGGUAA
rnacentral:rRNA from 1 species